rnacentral:rRNA from 1 species
AGCAGCCGCGGUAAUUCCAGCUCCAAUAGCGUAUAUUAAAGUUGUUGCAGUUAAAAAGCUCGUAGUUGAAUUUCGGGGUUAGCAGGUCGGUCGUGCCAUUGGUAUGAACUGGUCUCGCUGAUCCCUCCCUCUUGACGAACUGUGAUGCCAUUAAUUUGGUGUCGCAGGGAAUCAGGACUGUUACUUUGAAAAAAUUAGAGUGUUUAAAGCAGGCUUUCGCUUGAAUACAUUAGCAUGGAAUAAUGAAAUAGGACGUUUGAUCUUAUUUUGUUGGUUUCUAGGAUUGACGUAAUGAUUAAUAGGGAUAGUUGGGGGCAUUAGUAUUCAAUUGUCAGAGGUGAAAUUCUUGGAUUUAUUGAAGACUAACUACUGCGAAAGCAUUUGCCAAGGAUGUUUUCAUUAAUCAAGAACGAAAGUUAGGGGAUCGAAGACGAUCAGAUACCGUCGUAGUCUUAACCAUAAACUAUGCCGACUAGGGAUCGGAUGAUGUUAAUUUUUUAAUGACUCAUUCGGCGCCUUACG